rnacentral:rRNA from 1 species
CCCCAGACUCCUACGGGAGGCAGCAGUGAGGAAUAUUGGUCAAUGGCCGAGAGGCUGAACCAGCCAAGUCGCGUGAGGGAUGACGGCCCUACGGGUUGUAAACCUCUUUUGUCGGGGAGCAAAGAGAGUCACGUGUGACUCAUUGAGAGUACCCGAAGAAAAAGCAUCGGCUAACUCCGUGCCAGCAGCCGCGGUAAUACGGAGGAUGCGAGCGUUAUCCGGAUUUAUUGGGUUUAAAGGGUGCGCAGGCGGAGGUGAAAGUCGGCGUUAAAAUUGCGGGGCUCACCCUCGCUCCGCCGUUGAAACUGGCGUUCUUGAGUGGGCGAGAAGUAUGCGGAAUGCGUGGUGUAGCGGUGAAAUGCAUAGAUAUCACGCAGAACUCCGAUUGCGAAGGCAGCAUACCGGCGCCCAACUGACGCUGAAGCACGAAAGCGUGGGUAUCGAACAGGAUUAGAUACCCGUGUAGC